AGCUUCAGGCCUAACACAUGCAAGUCGCACGAGAAAGGGCUUCGGCCCCGGUACAGUGGCGCACGGGUGAGUAACACGUGGGUAAUCUUCCCUCUGGCGGGGGAUAACCUUCCGAAAGGAGGGCUAAUACCGCAUAAGACCACGACUCCGAAAGGAGACGAGGUUAAAGCUGGCCUCUAUACAUAAGCUAGCACCAGAGGAUGAGCCCGCGGCCCAUCAGGUAGUUGGUAGGGUAACGGCCUACCAAGCCUAAGACGGGUAGCUGGUCUGAGAGGAUGAUCAGCCACACUGGAACUGAGACACGGUCCAGACUCCUACGGGAGGCAGCAGUGGGGAAUCUUGCGCAAUGGACGAAAGUCUGACGCAGCGACGCCGCGUGGGUGAUGAAGGCCUUCGGGUUGUAAAGCCCUGUGGGGAGAGACGAAUAAGUGCGGGCUAAUACUCCGCAUGAUGACGGUAUCUCCUUAGCAAGCACCGGCUAACUCUGUGCCAGCAGCCGCGGUAAGACAGAGGGUGCAAACGUUGUUCGGAAUUACUGGGCGUAAAGCGUGUGUAGGCGGCUAUGUAAGUCGGAUGUGAAAGCCCUGGGCUCAACCCAGG
rnacentral:rRNA from 1 species